UACGUAGGGUGCGAGCGUUGUCCGGAAUUAUUGGGCGUAAAGAGCUCGUAGGCGGUCUGUCGCGUCGAUCGUGAAAACUUGGGGCUUAACCCUGAGCUUGCGGUCGGUACGGGCAUGACUGGAGUUCGGCAGGGGAGACUGGAAUUCCUGGUGUAGCGGUGAAAUGCGCAGAUAUCAGGAGGAACACCGGUGGCGAAGGCGGGUCUCUGGGCCGAUACUGACGCUGAGGAGCGAAAGCGUGGGGAGCGAACAGG
rnacentral:rRNA from 1 species